ACCUUUCCAUUUAUACUCAGAGAAAUUAGAAAUGGAAAAAGUCAUUAGGUUACCCUGUUCAUUUCCCUGCCAACACAGCUUAUUCUCAAGGGUUUGUCCAGUCUAAUUUUAGAUGUCCCAAGAGUCUUGACUUCAAGGACUUCAUUUGUAAAACCAUUCUGCUGUCCAAUGAACCUUCAUAAAUUGCCACCCUUCUAGCUCUUCAGCCUAAAAUUUCAACCUUCCAAUAGAUUCCAAAUGUUCCCUUGGCCUUCUCUAACUACAACAAUCAAGAUACAAUACUGGAGGGAGAGUUUUCUCUUUCCUUUAAGAUCUGUCUAAAAUACCUAAGAAAAGUGAUAUCUCAUUAAAUCCAAGAGAGGCAUUUCCCAAGUUCACUGGGCUGGUACAGGAGAACUUGAGUCCUGGUUUGUUUUCAAAAUUACAAAAUAUGUAGAGGCUUAAUAAUGUCUAGUUGCAUAUUUCUUUCCAAAGUCCAAGUAGUUCACUGAAAGACAUAAUAAACACUGCCAGUUAUGAAACUGUUAACACCUGCCAAGCAUUAUACCUGAGGCUUUGUAUACAUUGACUCUGACCUUACAACAACCCUGCACAGCAGUUAUUCACCUCAUUCUGCUUAUGAAGAAACUGAGACUUGCUGUGUUGGGGCCAAUAUUGCAGUAAAGUCUGCCUGGCUGAAACCUUUGCUUUUCCUGCCACACUGCACCAUAUCUGCAGCACCUUUGUCAGAGAGUGUGAGCACCUGGCUCCAGACUAUCCAUGUCCAAGCAGAUGGUGUUCCCUGACCAAGGCAGAAUGUGAAGAGGUGGAUGGGGCACAACAGCACACUUCCCAGAGGAUAAACUGCCUCUAAAUGUUCUGCAGACAAGCUCAGAGAGAAGCAGAUGGGGAUUGCUGGUCUGUGUAUAUAAUUUUUUUGAGGUAGAGACUAGUGAAUGGAGUUAAUUUGCAGGAAUGAAGAACCCAGACCCUGAGGCUGGGGAAUACAAGGGUAUGGGGGAGUAAACAGGACAGAAGAGCAGCAGCUCCUGAUAUUUGGCAACCACAUUUAGAUUGUUGACCAUUUCAUUGUGGUUUCAGGUAUCUUGGAUCCAUCCAAGGCUUUGAUUCAGCGUCUGGAUUUACAGGUGUUUUAAGAAACCUGACCAGGAACUUCUUUUUGACCCCAACCCUACGAGGAAUAUCAGGACUUAUUCCUGCCGCUGACUCAGCCAUCCCAAAUGUCCCACUAAAAGGGGGCCAUGAAGUGUCACCAUCCUUAACUAGACUGACAAGCGAGGAGCAGAUCGGCUCAGGAAGCUUCUCCUCAGGAAUUUAUCCAGUCUGAGGUUAUUGAGUCAUCUUGGGAGAAGCCAGUGGAGCAUACUGAUUAAAGAUGAAUUGCUGCCAUGUUAGAAGAAUGAACAUACCUGCGAGCUCUGAUGACUUCUUACAGAG